rnacentral:rRNA from 1 species
GACGAACGCUGGCGGCGUGCUUAACACAUGCAAGUCGAACGGAAAGGCCCUGCUUUUGUGUGGUGCUCGAGUGGCGAACGGGUGAGUAACACGUGAGUAACCUGCCCUUGACUUUGGGAUAACUUCAGGAAACUGGGGCUAAUACCGGAUAGGAGCUCCUGCUGCAUGGUGGGGGUUGGAAAGUUUCGGCGGUUGGGGAUGGACUCGCGGCUUAUCAGCUUGUUGGUGGGGUAGUGGCUUACCAAGGCUUUGACGGGUAGCCGGCCUGAGAGGGUGACCGGCCACAUUGGGACUGAGAUACGGCCCAGACUCAUACGGGAGGCAGGAGUGGGGAAUAUUGCACAACGGGCGGAAGCCUGAUGCAGCAACGCCGCGUGCGGGAUGACGGCCUUCGGGUUGGAAACCGAUUUCGCCUGUGACGAAGCGUGAGUGACGGUAAUGGGUAAAGAAGCACCGGCUAACUACGU